GUUACUGCCACUUGAAUAUCUUUAAAGUCCUAGAAUUGCUGUCUGCCUCCCAUUUUCCUGGCCCUCGUUCUGGGCCCUCAACUCUGGCCACUGCUGCACUAAACAUUUCUGGGGCUGGUGUAACCUCCCUGCAUCCCAUGUGCCACAUGCUUCCUCACCUGGGGCCCAUCCAACUUGCAGGAUGACGGUCUCGCAGUGCGUGCAGCUGGGAAGCUUAGCAGGGUUAACCCUCCACCAGAAAAGGAGCCAGUGGGAAAUGGGUCCUCGUCCUGAGCGCACCAUGAAAGCACGCACGCAAGUUGCGUCUUUCCGCAGCGUCAGCUCUGCGCAGCCACAAAGCAAAGUUAACGUAAUAGCACCACAAAGCAGUUUCCGGAUUCUGAACCCAGUGACGCUUCGCCACGUGUUUAACGAGUUACAGAUCACACGGAGCAAAGCACACGUCGCGCCCAAACGGGGUAGAACAGGGGUCAGGAAGUUAAUGAACCAAAUGUGAAGUCCAUUUGUGGACGCUCAGUCGAGUGGAGGCUCCGUCGUCCGGUCCUGGUCGGCUCUCGGCACUUACCUCUGGUUAUGUGCGAGCAGUGGAGGAUCUCUGUUCCGUUCAGAGAUCAAUCUGCAGAACCUUUGGUGGCAGCUGCCUUUUUGAAAUGGUCGUACACGGAGGAGCCAGUGUCUGGAGAAUCUGACCGUUUGCUGCAAAAAGCCUCCCCUUUUAGAGGGAUUUAAUCCGUCUUGGGCCGUUACAGACCUCCCCUGCUCUGCUGGUUAUCAGUGCUGUGUUACCCACCACCACUGGCCUCAGCAAUAUCGGGUCUUGGCUGCAACGCCCUUAGCUGCUUGAGUCACCGCUUGACGUAGGCCAGUGCUUGACAUGAGUGACUCCAUCUUGUUCUCUGUAGUUUUCUUCUUUUCCUUGGGAGACAGUAUAGAAGCCCAUUCUCCAUGUCUCUUCAGAGGGGCCUGUUAGAACUAAGCUCCUGCUGUCCCCAACGCUCCCAUGCAUCGGCUUUGGCCCUUCUCCAUCUUAUUCUUGUUUGUCUCCCCCCCCCUGCUUCCUAAACUAGCUGACCGGCUCCUUGCACUUCCUACCUCCUCAAGGGCUCCAUGCGCACAAACGUUUUUCUGAGGCUGCUUUCUGGGGCCCAAGUAAAUCUCAAACAAUUGAGUAUCAGAAGAUGCGAUAGACUGUCCGCUCACGGAUCAGAUGGUGAUAAACAGCCUUUGAUGGCGAUGAUAUAAUGGAGGCACAGAGAAACUAAGAAAUUUGGCCGAGUUCACACAGCUAAUGGUUGAUAGAGUCAGGAUAAAUCGACUUGUCUGCUUAGAAGAAGAAUGUGACCCUCGCUCAGACUUGCUCAGCAACUGACGUUCAUCCGAACUCCAGGCAACUGCACAAGCUAUAUAUACUUCUCAUUCGAAAUCAGAGAUCAAAUGAAAGGAAGCAGGUGAAACCCCAGAGAACGUGGCAAGAGAGCGGCAGAAGCACACCUGUUGGGCACAAGCGCCGGGUCGGGACACCCGAUCAGCGACUGCCGGCAAGAGCACGUGCCCGGGGGGACCUGAGCACGACCACAGCCACAGAGAAGGCAGGAGCCAAGCAUUUGUUCCCAUCUUGGCAAAAACUAGGAGUUAAAACGAAAGGGGAUUAGUGACAUUGCAUGGAACAAGCCGAAAGUAUAGAGCAAACGCACAUCAUCUUAGAGAAUUUAGCCUUGUCCCCCGCAUGUCAUUUCUGAAUAGCUGGGAUCUCUGGAUAUCGCUUUCGACAGCACCUGCAGACUGUCACCCAUUCCUUGUCGUGAGCCCACGUGCAAGGAGGGAAAGCAAUUCUUACCUGAGGUUUGAGAAUAGACCUGGUGAUUUUAGGGGCAGUAUAAAAUUCAUAUCAUAAAAGCAAAAGACGGAAAAAAAUGAGGUUCUUCCCCAGCAGCAGUGUGUCAAAUCGGAGACAUCUCUGUUUACUUGAUUUCUUACUCAUCAGAAAUGAGGGCACAAUGUGAAAACCUCCCUUACGUUGAUAAUGUGAGUCUUCAGCCAUUUCUUUCCUAAGAUUUUGGA